CCAGCAGCUGCGGUAAUUCCAGCUCUAAUAGCGUAUAUUAAAGUUGUUGCAGUUAAAAAGCUCGUAGUCGGAUGUCGGGCUCGGGCAGGCUGUCGGCUUCGGUCGGACGGCAGGCUCGGGUCUUUCUGCCUGAGGAACCCGUGGCACUUAACCGUGGUGCGCGGGAACACGGGCCGUUUACUUUGAAAAAAUUAGAGUGUUCAAAGCAGGCCUACGCUUGAAUACAUUAGCAUGGAAUAAUGGAAUAGGACUUUGGUGCUAUUUCGUUGGUUAAUGGGACCGAAGUAAUGAUUAAAAGGGACAGUUGGGGCCGUUUAUAUUUCGUUGUCAGAGGUGAAAUUCUUGGAUUUACGAAAGAUAAACUUCUGCGAAAGCAUUCGGCAAGGAUGUUUUCAUUGAUCAAGAACGAAAGU
rnacentral:rRNA from 1 species